GUCACGACCCAUUUCCAUGGACCGGACCGGCACUAGGACCUGGGUGGGCUUAAGGCCCCCGAAGCCCGUAGUAAGCCUAACUCAUUUAAGUUCCACAUUCUAUUCAUAAUUAUGGAUUAAGGCCCAUUAACUUAUUAUACAUAUGCAUCCAAAAUACAGUUCAUAUAUUAAAUCUGGACUUUCAUUAUGCACUUACAACCCAACUGGAAUACAAUUGCGGAACUCUACCUUUACAUUUACAUAUUUAUUUCUGUCAUUAACAGUCUUCUAUAAUACGUAUUUCAACUCCAUAGGGCUUUCCUUUCUUUCUAUUACCUGAAAAAAAAUAGUAGGCAGGGGUGAGCGCCAAACUCAAUGAGUAGGGUUAGAUAACCCUCUCACCCCAC
rnacentral:lncRNA from 1 species